rnacentral:rRNA from 1 species
UACGGAGGGGGCUAGCGUUGUUCGGAAUUACUGGGCGUAAAGCGCGCGUAGGCGGACCUGCAAGUCGGGGGGUGAAAGCCCGAGGCUCAACCUCGGAACUGCCUUCGAUACUGCGGGUCUCGAGUCCGGGAGAGGUGAGUGGAAUUCCUAGUGUAGAGGUGAAAUUCGUAGAUAUUAGGAAGAACACCAGUGGCGAAGGCGGCUCACUGGCCCGGUACUGACGCUGAGGCGCGAAAGCGUGGGGAGCAAACAGGAUUGAGAAA